rnacentral:lncRNA from 1 species
UUUUUCCUAGAACUUUUCAAGAACCAAACAUAGCCUAAGUAAAUGCAUAGGUUGAUAUUUGGAAUUAGAGUAUGAGUUUAACUGCCUAAUAUGGCCAGAGUGAUAGUUGUAAUGAGAUGAAAAUGUGAACUGACGAUGUAAAAACCCCUUACUUUCGUUAAAAAACAAGAUUUUCUACUCCCUUUAUACUAGAGGUAACUUCCCUUUCCAUAACUAUUUUUGUUGUUGCUAUGGACUUUUUCUUUGUCCUAGGUUUGCCGUUCUUAGCUUUUUGUCG